GGGAGAGUGUUAAAAGUAGAUAGCAUUGGCAGUGAAUGCAUUGAAAGAAACAAUACUAUCCUUUCCUAUAGUUGCAAAUAGUACAUGAAUAGUAUCAUAAGCGACAUGUCUAUAGUUAGAGAAAAAUGCAACUAGCAUCUUAACAAACCUGCUGCUUGCUUCCAUUCAACAUUGCAAAUUUCUUAUGCCAAUUGCUUACUUCCAUUGACGACAUAGAUGUUGCUUCUGCAGGCCUCUACCACACCGCGACUGCUGCUACCGGCUUCCUCUACACCGGAUAUUGUUGUUGUUGCCGGCAUUGCGAACAUGCGAACAAAGAAAAAAUUGUUCGCUCUCCUCUUAUUUCAGCCCUAAUUCGCACAACUUUUUGAAGAUCAGUAAUUUACAUUCAAUGAGGUUACAUAAUCUUAUUGUAGAAACAAAAUUAUCAUAUCUCAUUACCAAGAUUGAUAGUUUGCCAUAUCGAUGUUUAUUCGAAGGACAAAAAUUCUCAACUUGAAUCCACUAUUCACUUUCGCAAGCUGCUUUCUAUAUGAAACAUGUAGGAUUGAAUCUCAAAAACCGAGAGCUUUUGAUGUGUGACACUCUUUUUGGAGUCAAGAAUUCAUUAUUUUUAUGACUAGAGUAAGUUUAAAAGUAAUUGUGUCAAGUUUAAAAACACCUUUUGAUUUAUUAGGACUUUAAUUUGUAUAUGUACAUAUUAUUAUAUUAUAUAUACGAUCGAGAGUUUACAAAGAGAUUAUUGU